CAAACUGUUCACUAAAUCCCUAGAAUUGUUGUUCUAAAACGAGUGCUUCUCACGAAGAAUACUUUGUUGUUUUUAAGGUCUUCCUUUUUAUAGGUUUUAAAAAUAUAUAGGCUCUUUGAUCCACCCAAUAUUCUAAAAAUCACUAACAGUCCUUUUAUUUUCAUCCCUAACAUAACUAGCUAGCUAAAUUGAAAACCAUAUCAUAUCAUAUACUACCAAAAACAGAGUGGCUAAAAACCAAGAAAAAAAUUAGUAAACUCAUUCCCAAAGAUGAUUUACCCCAUAAUUCACUCCAUCAUGUAUUUUAUCAAGAAAUUAAGAAACUCGCCAUGAGCAUGAACCUUACGCUGAACGGCUGAAGUGUGGAGCUUCCUUUGGGCAUGGGUGGAAUUGGAAAAUAGGUACCGACUAGGGCGCAUCCUUGAGUAGUUUGCUGAGAAUUGAGUGCUCUGCUUUGUGAUCACACUCAAAUUGCAAGCAAAAUGACUCAAUAAAAUCUAUCAGCGAGAAUAGCUGCAACUAAUUAAUAAAACUACAUUUGUUACAACAUCGAAAUGGUGAUCAAUUGCAUAGGCAUGAACAAUCUUGUUUCCUAAGCUUCGACAUUAAUGCUAGAGUAUAAGCUUCACAACUGUUGUAAAUAUCAUGAUAGAGUACAACCAUAUAUUAGUUGUUGAGCUGUCCUCUUUUCACUAUGCCAGCUUUUAAAUAUCAUGGUAUAAAUUGUAAC
rnacentral:lncRNA from 1 species